AACAUUUUACGGCGUGAACUGAAGUGUAUAUUUGUGUGUAUUCAAAUAUCCUGACAGCUUUCUACUUUACAAUUUUCACACAUACUUUAUACUUAUUUACUACAUACAUGGUUUAGACUCCCAAAUGUAAAUCUCCAACACUGCAUUCUCUUCUCUAUUUUAAAUUCUUGUAGGUGAAUGCAUAAGUAAACUGAUAUAUCUAGACAGUAGAAUGUUAUUUGGCACUAAAAAGAAAUGAGCUACCAAGCCACGAAAAGACAAGGAGGAAAGUUAGGUGCAUGUUGCUGAAAGAAGCGUGAAAAGGCUACAUCCUGAAAGAGUCCAAUUCUCCAACAUUCCAGUAAAGGGAAAACUGGAAACAGUAAAAAGCCAGGGGUGAGAGGGGAGGGAGGAAUGAGUGGGCAGUGCACAGGGUUUUCAGGGCAGUGAAACUCUUCUGAAUGGUACUAAAAUGGUGGAUAUAGGUCAUUAUGCAUUUGUCCAACACCAGGAGCAAGCUUCAAGUAAACUGGACUCCGGGUGAUAACGAUGUGUUGAUGGACGUCUAUCGGCUGUAACAAAUGGACCACUCUGAUGGGGAUGCUGAUAGUGGGGGAGCCUGUGUGUGUGGAGGGGCUGGGGAUCUAUGGAAACUCUCUACCUUCCACCCAAUUUUGCUGUGAGCCUGAAGUGGUCUAAAGAAUAAAGUCUAUUAAAAUAUGGGUGUUAAACAUGAAAAGGAGCUUAACCUCAUUAAUCGCUGGGUAAGUGCAAAUUAAAACCCAAAUUUAAAGGACCAACAUCACCAAGUGUUGACAGAAUAGAAAGUAACUGCUGAGCAGCACGUCUGCUACCGUGGAGCUGUUGGCCACUAUCUGCUAAAGUCAAAGGAGUCGGACCUGGCGGGAGAUCAAUGUGGAUGGUUCUGCCGCCUUCUGUUUCCAUUUUACUAACUUAGCAGAGAACUAAUGCAGCAUAUUCCUGAGCUGGGAAGUUGUUGACACAUUCGUUGUCACUUUGAGAAACUAGGUGUUUCCUAGGUUUUUAUGCACUGCCCUAUAAGUAGAUGAUACGGUGUGGGUUCCGGGCUUGCGCUCGCUCACGGAGCUCCUUACUACAUGUCCAGUCUCUAGCCCAGGGACGCCCCUGCAGAACAUCUGCCGUGAUUCCAUCAGCCUUGGUGUUCGCACAAUCGGAUGGUGUCAUGCCGCGGGAGCAGUCCUGCUACACACAGCAGUGAGUGGACGUGCAGGUGCUUCUGGCCACUGCAUCUUGGUAUCAGAUUGGCCAGGAAAAGCCGUGAAGACACACCCUGCGUGGGUUGGGCUCCACUCCUGAGAGAAGACAGCAAGGUCAGCUUCCACGGUGUGUGUCGGGUCCCCAUGCCCGUGGGCCCCUGCUGGCAGCUGACACGGCAUUAGUGGACAUGACACACUUGAGCUGUAAGAAAAGAACUCUGUCCCCAGCCCCAGCCCACGGGGGACAGAUGCUGCAGUGGGGUUGCUUGUGUGCUGCUUGAUCACAUGCCCUGACGCAGAUUAAAAGGAACGCAGAGUCUGAACAGGAAAGGGGUUCCCAUGCCAGGUGACAAGCCAGCUCCAGCCUUGCCUGCAUCUCAGCGUGUCCACGUGCUUCCCCUUCUGCCUGGAACCUGCAUUUCCUUAGUCUGCAGCUGGCCGAAUCUGACUCAUCGAAACCCUUGGCUUAAACGUCAUCUCAGAUGAUCCUCCCAGGACUCAAAUCUGAAUCACAAGCACAAAGUGGGAGCUCAGUGACUUUGAGUAAAUUAUGAGUAAAAACUAAGCGUAUACUCAUGGGUCCUAUAAGGCUACGUCGCUUGUGUACAGACGGUGCCCUCUCAGCAGUCGUCACUCCCAUGUCAAAGGCUGCUCAUGCUUCCCUUCAGGUAAUGGUAGGCCAGGUGGGUCAGGCAGUGGCACAGCCCACCUCCCAAGAGCGCCGGAAACACCUGAGAGAGAAUGUCAGAGACCAGAUAGCUCUGAAAAGUGUAGGGCAAAAUCUAGGAGAAGAAAACCUGUGCUGCUUUUUCCAAGGGGCACUGCCCAGUUCCAGUAAAGGAGCAGAGAGGCUGAGAAACGGAGAGGUGCUUCCAAUAGCUGGACAGGAAUAGGGGAGCAGAGACCAGGGCUGAGAGCUGCCGAGGGCAAGGCCCACAGAGAGCUUCCCAGGCUUCACGUGCUAGGAAGAGGAAUUUAGGGCCAGCCUAGAAUUGGCUCAAAACCUAUUCUUAUUAGGGAAAUCUGAGAUAGUUACUUCUCUAGUUUCUUGCAGAAAACCAUUAUCUGGAGGACAAUAGCACAUCACAGACUCCAAACAUCCCCCAUAUCUUUGUCAUACAUAGCAUCCAGAGGUCGCUGGGCGUCCACCUGGUGGGAGACAGGCCAGCGCAACCAAGUGGCCAGCAAACGAGCCAGUGGCAGUGACUUCAGGGCCCAGAGAAUGUUGUCAGCAGCCACAAACCUAAGACACAAAGCUUAACAUCAAGGAAAUAAAAGUCAUGA